UUGUAUAAUCCGAAGACGUGAUGUGGAGCGAAAUAAAGUAGCAAAGCGUGUGAGCCAUGUGCCGAGAAAAGCUGCUAUUGUGUAAUGCGUGCCCGUACCGUAAACCGACACAGGUGGAUGAGGAGAGAAUCCUAAGGCCGACGGAAGAAGCAUUGUUAAGGAAUUCGGCAAAAUGACCCCGUAACUUCGGGAGAAGGGGUGCCUGCGAGAGCAGGCCGCAGAGAAUAGGCUCAAGCAACUGUUUAGCAAAAACACAGGUCUAUGCGAAACCGAAAGGUGAAGUAUAUGGGCUGACGCCUGCCCGGUGCUGGAAGGUUAAGAGGAGAGGUUAGCUUCGGCGAAGCUUUGAAUUCAAGCCCCAGUAAACGGCGGCCGUAACAAUAACGGUCCUAAGGUAGCGAAAUUCCUUGUCGGGUAAGUUCCGACCCGCACGAAAGGCGUAAUGAUUUGAGCACUGUCUCGACAUGCAUCCGGUGAAAUUGAAGUACCAGUGAAGAUGCUGGUUACCCGCGCCAGGACGGAAAGACCCCAUGGAGCUUUACUCCAGUUUGAUACUGGGAUUCGGUACUGCAUGUACAGGAUAGGUGGGAGACGAAGAAGGAUGGACGCCAGUCUGUCCGGAGUCGCUGUUGGGAUACCACCCCUGUAGUACUGGGUUUCUAACCAGUUGCCAUGAACUGGCAAUGGGACAAUGUCAGGCGGGGAGUUUGACUGGGGCGGUCGCCUCCGAAAGGGUAUCGGAGGCGCUCAAAGGUUCCCUCAGAAUGGUUGGAAACCAUUUGAAGAGUGCAAAGGCAGAAGGGAGCUUGACUGCGACACCGACGGGUGGAGCAGGUACGAAAGUAGGACUUAGUGAUCCGGUGGUAUAAAGUGGGAUUGCCGUCGCCCAACGGAUAAAAGCUACCCUGGAUAACAGGCUUAUCACUCCCAAGAGUUCACAUCGACGGAGUGGUUUGGCACCUGGAUGUCGGCUCAUCGCAUCCUGGGGCUGUAGCAGGUCCCAAGGGUUGGGCUGUUCGCCCAUUAAAGCGGUACGCGAGCUGGGUUCAGAACGUCGUGAGACAGUUCGGUCCCUAUCCGGCGCGGGCGGAGGAUAUUUGAGAGGAGCUGUCCUUAGUACGAGAGGACCGGGAUGGACGGACCACUGGUGUAUCUGUUGUCGACCAACGGCAUGGCAGAGUAGCCAAGUCUGGAAGGGAUAAACGCUGAAGGCAUCUAAGCGUGAAGCCCCCCUCAAGAUGAGAUAUCCCUCCUUCGGGAGUAAGACCCCUUGAAGACUACAAGGUAGAUAGGGCAGAGGUGGAAGCAUGGCAACAUGUGGAGCUGACUGUUACUAAUAGGUCGAGGGCUUAAU
rnacentral:rRNA from 1 species